rnacentral:rRNA from 1 species
GGAUGAGCUGUGCCUAGGGGUGAAAGGCCAAUCAAACUCGGAGAUAGCUGGUUCUCCUCGAAAGCUAUUUAGGUAGCGCCUCGUGUAUCACCACCGGGGGUAGAGCACUGUUUGGGCUAGGGGGUCAUCCCGAUCUACCAACCCCAUGCAAACUACGAAUACCGGUGAGUGCAAUCACGGGAGACACACGGCGGGUGCUAACGUCCGUCGUGGAAAGGGAAACAACCCAGACCACCAGCUAAGGUCCCAAAUACCAGUUAAGUGGGAAACGAUGUGGGAAGGCUAAGACAGCUAGGAGGUUGGCUUAGAAGCAGCCAUCCUU